UGGCAGUUAUGUAAUUUCUGUAAACGCCUUUCAGCACAGCCCGGCCGGUUUCCAGCUCCGGCACGGUGGCGCGCCAUGGGCGCCACCGGAAGCUCGUCGGCGCACAGUGACUUCUCGUUUCCGAGCACCGUUUCGAGAAAGAAAAACUCCGGGAUGAAGAGGAGCUCACCACGAUCUCUUCUAAGCGCUUGGUUGGGUCCGAGAGAUGACGAAGACGGCUCGCGGCGUGCGGAAAGCGUGCUGCUCCGGCGAGGUCCGAUUUCGCGAAGUCUAGGGCGGCUGGAGCUUGGUUUCGCGAUUAAAAUGCACACGCAGGACGCGGGGUUGACCUAGGGGCUUAUAUAGGCGCCGUUUAGCCGAUUUGGUAAGAAAUCGUGCUUACCCGGAUUCGGUUCGGCGCUGGGAAAUUUUCCCGGCCGAAACCGGCUCGUCCACGCUGAGGAGAAGAACGAAGGUGCUGCUGACAUGUGGGGCACGCGCGUCAGCCAGGGAGGGGGAAGGAGGCGCGCGCGCUGGGCUGCCUGGCCGCAGGUGGGCCGCGCUAGCGGGGCUGCAGGGGUUCGGCUGUUGUUUUUUUUUUUUAUUAUUUAUUUCUUUUCUGUUUCUUUUUCCAAAGCCUUUCCAAAAAGAAUUUUGAAAGCACAAAAUAAAAUAUGUCUCAGCAUGAAUGCAAAAGCAUGUUGCUAGCCUUAUGAUGAAUUUUAUUCCCCACAAACUAAUUUUAUUAGCUAAGUUU
rnacentral:lncRNA from 1 species